UGCAAGUAACGAGCAAAACUCUUAACCUAUUUAACAAAAGUCAAGAGAACCAGUAUUUAUUCGCAGCGCUGUGAAAGAAAUGUGUUUGUAUUCUUUAACUUCUAUUUUACACCCGUGUGUGCUCUAGGAGGACCGCUUCAGGAUGUAGAGGCAGUUUGGCGCGUUACUUUUAUGCUAACGUUAACGGACAUUAGCUCCAAAGUAACGUAAAGUUGUGACUGAAGCCUUCGCCUGACAGUCGGCAGAGAAUGCACUUUGGUCCGGAUUAUAGAGAAUGCUGCUGAAGGGAUUUCAUCUUGUCCAUAAUCACCUGACUUGCGAAAGCAGCUCUUGUAUCGCUGAGAUUAAGUAUUGAGUGACACUACAGCUAUCCAAGGUGUUUUCUGAGUUCCAUCGUCAUCAUGAUUAAUGUUGAACCUAUGGAGCCAAUUCAACUGUGAGCUUGACACCACAGCUGAUUGUCCUGUCCAGGUGGAGGGCCUCACAGACGGGCAAGACAGCAGAGGCACUGCGGAGAUCCUAGGAUUUAUGACCUCCAGAAACAACAUGAUGUACACAUGAGAUGCAUUCUGGCCCUUCGUGCCCUCCCAGUGGACCUGCGAGAGUGUGAUGGCCACAGCCGUGGCCUCACAACCAGAUGAAGAGCGGUAACCUCAUUGUUGGAUGCCACACCCAGGAGAGAUCCAGGAAGUCUGCUGGCUUAAAGGGUUGGUGCUCGGAGCAGGAGCAGCUUUAUAGGAGAGGUGGCCUGAUUGGACACUACCACUGCUUGCUAUGUCUGGGGGGUGGCUUUAUUCUCUCCUUAAAUAUUUUGGGGUUUAGAUUUAUAUUAUAUUUGAGUAUUUUUGAGUUAAGGUAAAGUAAAUGUACAUUUAUUUUGGAAUAAGUUUUUACAUAAGUAUUGUUGUGUUUGCAGUUAUGAUGUA